rnacentral:lncRNA from 1 species
AGCCACAGGAGAUAUUCCAGCUUUAUGUAAGCAGAAACAAGAGGAAACCUUCACUUCUCCUACUAAAAUCUUCCGUGUCAAGUGAUUUUAUCAGUCUAAAGCUUCCUAGUUGGAAAGUGAAGCCCAUGUGUUUAUUGGAAAGCCAUAGAUAUACUACCAAGAUAUACUACCAGCUCAAAUACUUUUUAAAGCCCUCCAACAAAAAGUAUUUUAGAUAGCCCCCCUCCCCAUACUCAUCCAUGGCCUCAUGAUGAUUCUGCUAUUCAGUUGCAAGAGAUCAAGACCAACCGGUGUGUAAAUUAACUCUGUCGAUGCUGUUCCAAUAUCACGCAUGCUGUGCCACCAUCCUACACUUAAAAUCAAUGGCACAAAAGGCUGCCAUCAGGAGCAGAGCUGGUAUGCCCCAGGCGGUCUGCCAUGAAAAUCCAGCACUAGUCAAUUAAAUACUGUUAGUUCAGUGCUUAGGUUUACAGCAGGAGUGCUGUUGAUACAAAAACCAAAAGCAGCCACAUCACUUUGUGCUCCGCAAUAAAGCAGAGAAAUGGCAUGGGGUGAGGACUGAUAUCCUGACAGAAAGAGGACAAAGUCAUACAGAACAGAAAAGCUACUGUCAGGCUCGUAAGAGCAGAGACAGCACUACAGGAUCUUUUUACCCUCCUUACAGUAAAGAAUGGGGGCUUUGAUUGCUCUCUUCUCUUUACAGGUUCCCUUAACUUUCCUCGGGGUGCUAUAGGAAUAGAGGUAUUUGUAGAGGAGCUACAACCACGAAGGAAAAAGAAACAGAUUUCUAGCAAGACAGCCCAUGUCAAAUGAAGGUCUCGUAGAGCCAGGAACCGAGGGCCCGCUGCAGCAUGGAAAGCCAUCGUCUCACCCUUGUACAGGUUCUUUAGGUCAGAAGGCAUACAGAGGAGCCUACCAUGUGUUCCUACCUGGGAGGAAAAAGCCUCUCAGCAACGCUGGGUGACCAGCCACUUUGCACGUUGCUGCCAUGUACAUUUUUCUCCAUAAUCUGCAUGCAUUCUGUAAAUCCAACUAUAUAAAAAUAGCACAUGUGUAAGUAAAAACAUCAUGCUCAUUUUAAUUUUUUCUUUGCACAAGGUAGUUACUCCAUCACAAUGAAUUAAUUUGCUAAUACAUUUUCCCUUCAGGCCUGAACAUUUCCUUGGUAGAAUUAGUUAUUGAAAUUGCUCAGACACCCCAUCCUCAGAGUUGGUCAAGACCAGGCUGGAUGAGGCAGUGGGCAACCUGAUCUAGGGGAUGGCAUCCCUGCCCAUGCAGGGGGGUUGGAACUAGGUGAUCUCUAAAGGCCCUUCCAACCCAAGCCAUUCUAUGAUUCUGUGACAGAUAUUUUAAGCCACACAGGCCAACAUGUGCAAGGCCCUGAUUUAUUAUUGUAUGGUUUGGUACAUCUUCGAAUUCUGCGUGUUUGUAAAAUGGAUGUACUGUGGAUCUAACUUAGAUAUUUUCCUAGCUCACUGGCAAUGAGGUUCUAGGUGUCACACACAAUUUGCAUGAUUUUAGUUGAUGCAGCAUUUGCUGUUUCUAUAAUCACUUCAGAAACCACCAAUUUCAGUGUAAACAUGUCUGAGGAACCCUUCCUAUUAGGCUGUGGAGACAAAAGACGUUUUCUUCUUU